CCAGACUCCUACGGGAGGCAGCAGUGAGGAAUAUUGGUCAAUGGUCGGGAGACUGAACCAGCCAAGCCGCGUGAGGGAUGAAGGUACAGGGUAUCGUAAACCUCUUUUGUCAGGGAACAAAGGCGGGGACGUGUCCCCGGAUGAGUGUACCUGAAGAAAAAGCAUCGGCUAACUCCGUGCCAGCAGCCGCGGUAAUACGGAGGAUGCGAGCGUUAUCCGGAUUUAUUGGGUUUAAAGGGUGCGUAGGCGGGCUGUUAAGUCAGCGGUCAAAUGUCGGGGCUCAACCCCGGCCUGCCGUUGAAACUGACGGUCUUGAGUGGGCGAGAAGUAUGCGGAAUGCGUGGUGUAGCGGUGAAAUGCAUAGAUAUCACGCAGAACUCCGAUUGCGAAGGCAGCAUACCGGCGCCCAACUGACGCUGAAGCACGAAAGCGUGGGUAUCGAACAGGAUUAGAUACCCGAGUA
rnacentral:rRNA from 1 species